AAAUGAAUAGACGGGGGCCCGCACAAGCGGUGGAGCAUGUGGUUUAAUUCGACGCAACGCGAAGAACCUUACCAGGGCUUGACAUCCCCUGCAAGUCGUAGAGAUACGAUGUUCUCAUUUGAGACAGGGAGACAGGUGGUGCAUGGUUGUCGUCAGCUCGUGUCGUGAGAUGUUGGGUUAAGUCCCGCAACGAGCGCAACCCCUGUACUUAGUUGCCAUCACUAAGGGUGGGCACUCUAAGUAGACUGCCGGUGACAAACCGGAGGAAGGUGGGGAUGACGUCAAAUCAUCAUGCCCCUUAUGUCCUGGGCUACACACGUGCUACAAUGGUUGGUACAGAGGGUGGCGAGGCUGUGAAGCUAAGCGAAUCCCAAAAAGCCGAUCACAGUUCGGAUUGUAGGCUGCAACUCGCCUACAUGAAGUCGGAAUCGCUAGUAAUCGCAGGUCAGCAUACUGCGGUGAAUACGUUCCCGGGCCUUGUACACACCGCCCGU
rnacentral:rRNA from 1 species